rnacentral:rRNA from 1 species
CAGGGGGGGGUGCCUAAUACAUGCAAGUCGAGCGGACAGAUGGGAGCUUGCUCCCUGAUGUUAGCGGCGGACGGGUGAGUAACACGUGGGUAACCUGCCUGUAAGACUGGGAUAACUCCGGGAAACCGGGGCUAAUACCGGAUGGUUGUCUGAACCGCAUGGUUCAGACAUAAAAGGUGGCUUCGGCUACCACUUACAGAUGGACCCGCGGCGCAUUAGCUAGUUGGUGAGGUAACGGCUCACCAAGGCGACGAUGCGUAGCCGACCUGAGAGGGUGAUCGGCCACACUGGGACUGAGACACGGCCCAGACUCCUACGGGAGGCAGCAGUAGGGAAUCUUCCGCAAUGGACGAAAGUCUGACGGAGCAACGCCGCGUGAGUGAUGAAGGUUUUCGGAUCGUAAAGCUCUGUUGUUAGGGAAGAACAAGUGCCGUUCAAAUAGGGCGGCACCUUGACGGUACCUAACCAGAAAGCCACGGCUAACUACGUGCCAGCUUCCGCGGUAAUACGUAGGUGGCAAGCGUUGUCCGGAAUUAUUGGGCGUAAAGGGCUCGCAGGCGGUUUCUUAAGUACUGAUGUGAAAACACCCGGCUCAACCGGGGAGGGUCAUUUUGAAACUGGGGAACCUCAAUGCAAAAGAGG